rnacentral:rRNA from 1 species
AACCUCCGCAAUGUGAGAAAUCGCGACGGGGGGAUCCCAAGUGCCAUUCUUAACGGGAUGGCUUUUCAUUAGUGUAAAGAGCUUUUGGAAUAAGGGCUGGGCAAGACCGGUGCCAGCCGCCGCGGUAACACCGGCAGCUCUAGUGGUAGCAGUUUUUAUUGGGCCUAAAGCGUCCGUAGCCGGUUUAAUAAGUCUCUGGUGAAAUCCUGUAGCUUAACUGUGGGAAUUGCUGGAGAUACUAUUAGACUUGAGACCGGGAGAGGUUAGAGGUACUCCCAGGGUAGAGGUGAAAUUCUGUAAUCCUGGGAGGACCGCCUGUUGCGAAGGCGUCUAACUGGAACGGUUCUGACGGUGAGGGACGGAAGUUAGGGGCGCGAACCGGAUUAGAUUCCCGGGUAGUCCUAACCGUAAACGAUGCGGACUUGGUGUUGGGGUGGCUUUGAGCUGCUCCAGUGCCGAAGGGAAGCUGUUAAGUCCGCCGCCUGGGAAGUACGGUCGCAAGACUGAAACUUAAAGGAAUU